rnacentral:rRNA from 1 species
UAGGGAAUAUUAGAAAUGGACGAAAGUCUGAUCUAGCAACACCGCGUGUGCGAAGAAGGCCUUCGGGUUGUAAAGCACUUUUUGGAAGGAUUAGGAAGGAAUGUACUUCCAGAAUAAGUCUCGGCUAACUACGUGCCAGCAGCCGCGGUAACACGUAGGAGGCAAACGUUAUCCGGAUUUACUGGGCGUAAAGCGCGUGUAGGUGGUUCUGUAAGUAGGGCGUGAAAGCUCCUGGCUCAACUGGGAGAGGCCGUUCUAAACUGCAGAACUAGAGGAUGGUAGAGGGAGGUGGAAUUCCAGGUGUAGCGGUGGAAUGCGCAGAUAUCUGGAGGAACACCGGUGGCGAAGGCGGCCUCCUGGACCAUUCCUGACACUCAGACGCGAAAGCUAGGGUAGCAAACGG